CGACUUAUCUCAUUAACAAAUAAAACGAGAGCGACGGGCGAUGUGUACAUACCUCAGAACCAAUUAUCACAAAAACAAUCUUCAAAACAUUACAAUCAAAUCCAAUUUCAUGCCAGUAAUUAAAACCAACAAUCCAAACCCAACAAAUAACAAUGUAACCCACCAAUACACUUAGAGAAAGCUGCACCUUGACCUGAAAUUAAACCAAAUAAAGGAACGAGAAAAUUAUACAACCCUAAAAAGAUAAUCAAUAAACGGCGGUAUACAAACCAAUAAACAACUAAGUAAGGUCCAACGCGGACUAUCGAUAACGAGGCAGGUUCCUCUGAACGGAAUAAGAUACCGCCAAAUUCUUUAAGUUUCAAGAACAUAACUAAUACUACUCAGGCAAAACAUUAACAUCCAAAAAUAAUAGGGUAUCUAAUCCUAGUUU
rnacentral:rRNA from 1 species